CGGGAUAUUUAGAAAAGAGUA
rnacentral:tRNA from 38 species